GACCAAGGAGGAGCUGUUCGACAUGGUCAUUGACCUCAAUAGCAACUACAACGUUCCCCACAGCAUGAAACGGAAGCACUUGCUCCUCUCGCAGCGCCUCUCCUCACAAAUCCAGCCUAGACCAUACGACCCAGCCUGGCGUUUCUGUCGACGCACCGAAAGACGCAAUACUUUCUACAAGUUUGUGGGGGUGACUACUUGUGACCUUGUCGGCUCAGCCGGCCUCUUCUUGCUCCUACACGGACCUCAUCAUCGACCAAAGAAGUGGGUUGUCGACUGGUGGGACAAGCUAACCAGUUAGAAUCCAUCCAUCCAUGCCCUGCUUCAACAACAUAUACUAGCUAGAAUGCCAACAAGACUAGCUUCCUUGUCAUGAGGUUUAUGUUAAUUAGCUUUGCUUGGCCACCAAUUAAGUGCUAUUAUAUGUUUUUUGUCCAACGAUUUGUACUCGUAUUUAUACCAGAGCUAUGCUAGGUGUGCAACUGCUUUACUACUCAACAAAUGUUGCCUCUUCCAAUGACGAGCCAUACGACUCUUUCGAAUUCUGUAAACAUCAAGUAUGAAGUCAGUGUAUCAGAACUUCCUCAUCGGAACACCAGCUGCUGGUUUGCCUAGCUGAAAUUGCGUAAGGGCCAUCA